ACCCUCUCAGGAUCACACCUGGAGAGUUUCCAGUACUCUAUCAGUCUCAGCUAAGGGAGGGAAAGUCAAAGUACAGGCAUACCCAUUCCAUUCCUAGCUUGAGCAGGGGCUAGCUAGUGGAAGGCAGUCUGAUACUAGU